rnacentral:tRNA from 4 species
GGGCGGGUAGCUCAAUUGGCAGAGCGGGGGGAUGCAUCCCCAAAACAAGUACCCAGGUUGCAGGUUCGAGUCCUGUCCCGUCCACCC